GAGACGUGUCAAUAAAGGUCAGAACAGAAAAAUAAAAUAAAAAUUCUGCAUCUUCCCCGAAGGGCGCGAGGCGGCGAGCCUCACGCCCUCUCCCGAGUCCCGAGUGAGGACACGCCGGCGGAGGCCGAUGGCCCUAGCCGCUCUACCUCUACCUCUACGGGCUCCUGAACCGUGUCGGCGUUCACGAGGCAGGCGGUGCCUAGGUGAUGCAGGCGAGCUCCCCCUCCUCUCCUCCGCUGGUUGCUUCUGCGGGCCGUCUCUUUGCCCAGGUGCGGACAGAUGAAGGCGUCGAUUUGAUCAUCUGAAGUGGCCGGGAAUCCGCAAUCAUGCGGUGGCAUGCAGCCGUCCUAUUCGAUGACAAUGCAGUGGUAUCUUUCUGAUGGAGUAACUCGGAAUUAAGGUUAUCCUUUGCAUUGUCAAGGACAAGGAAGAAUCUCUUGUUCUGUAUGGUCCUGGAGAGAUCAUGUUCCGAACUAGCUUGGAGUGUUUCCAGACCCAUUUCAGAAUCAAAAGGAUGCUGUUCUGCUGCAAAAGAACAAAAUAUUUUCUUGAUGAAAUCCUCUGAGUCAGACCUUUGAGAGAGAGAGACCCAUCCUCUCUGAUUGAAGGCCUUCUUGACAUUAGGGUGGUUAUAGAUUACUUGAGCAAGUGCUGUUUUGCCUACCCCAGCCUCGCCUACGAUACAUACAACUUUCACAGUUGCAGUUCCCCGUGUCUCUUCCUGCAUUCUGGAUGCUGGAAAAUGUUCAGCUUGUGCUUCAUUUGGAAAUAUGAUGCUCAUUAAUUGGUCCUUCUCUUUCUCACGACCAUGGAACACUACUUGUAUUUCUGGAAGAAACCCUACCAUAUCCUCUUUAGAAUCAUUCAAUUUUAACAAGUCAAAAAAAUUUCCAGACUUACUGGCAAUCUUGUCGAGCCUUGCCAGGAGAGUCUUCAGUCUGUAUAUGUCAUCAUCAACAAAACCCAGAUUCUUCAUCAUGUAUGCCAGAAAACCGCUAACCUUGUUCUGUUGGCU